rnacentral:rRNA from 1 species
AUUGAACGCUGGCGGCAUGCCUUACACAUGCAAGUCGAACGGCAGCACGGGAGCAAUCCUGGUGGCGAGUGGCGAACGGGUGAGUAAUAUAUCGGAACGUGCCCAGUCGUGGGGAUAACGUAGCGAAAGCUACGCUAAUACCGCAUACGAUCUAUGGAUGAAAGCGGGGGAUCGCAAGACCUCGCGCGAUUGGAGCGGCCGAUAUCAGAUUAGGUAGUUGGUGAGGUAAAGGCUCACCAAGCCGACGAUCUGUAGCUGGUCUGAGAGGACGACCAGCCACACUGGGACUGAGACACGGCCCAGACUCCUACGGGAGGCAGCAGUGGGGAAUUUUGGACAAUGGGCGCAAGCCUGAUCCAGCAAUGCCGCGUGCAGGAUGAAGGCCUUCGGGUUGGUUAAACGU